rnacentral:rRNA from 1 species
AUUGAACGCUGGCGGCAGGCCUAACACAUGCAAGUCGAGCGAGCGGCGGACGGUUGAGUAAUGUAUGGGGACUGCCCGAUAGAGGGGUAUAACUACUGGAAACGGUAGCUAAUACCGCAUACUAUCGGAUAACCCAUAUGGGAUUAGCGAGGAGGUGUGGUAAUGGCUCACCUAGUCGACGAUCACUAGCUGGUCUGAGCGGAUGAUCAGCCACACGGGGACUGAGACACGGCCCAGAAUCCUACGGAGGCAGCAGUGGGGAAUAUUGCACAAUGGGCUCAAGCCUGAUGCAGCCAUGCCGCGUGUAUGAAGAAGGCCCUAGGGGUGUAAAGUACUUUCAGUCGGGAGGCGUUACCGACAGAAGAAGCACCGGCUAACUCCGUGCCAACAGCCGCGGUAAUUC